GGGCCUGUGGCGCAACUGGGAGCGCGCGACACUGGCAGUGUCGAGGUCAGGGGUUCGAGUCCCCUCAGGUCCACCA
rnacentral:tRNA from 1 species